GUCACGAAAGGUGAAAAGGGAAUCCGGUGCAAAUCCGGGACAAUACCAGUUGCUGUAAUUCUCUCUCCAUCAGGAGGUUUUAUCGCACUCUUUGCCACUGAUAAAAAUCGGGAAGGCGCGAUAAAAGAGAUAAGUCAGAAGACCUGCCUUAUGUUUUA
rnacentral:ncRNA from 1 species